GAGGGUGUAGCUCAAGUGGCAGAGCACAUGCUUAGCAUGCAGGAGGUCCUGGGUUCAAUCCCCAGUACCUCCU
rfam:Camelus ferus unplaced genomic scaffold scaffold1862, whole genome shotgun sequence.